UGAACGCUGGCGGCGUGCCUAAUACAUGCAAGUCGAGCGACCGGACGAGAAGCUUGCUUCUCUGAUGUUAGCGGCGGACGGGUGAGUAACACGUGGAUAACCUACCUAUAAGACUGGGAUAACUUCGGGAAACCGGAGCUAAUACCGGAUAAUAUUUUGAACCGCAUGGUUCAAAAGUGAAAGGCGGUCUUGCUGUCACUUAUAGAUGGAUCCGCGCUGCAUUAGCUAGUUGGUAAGGUAACGGCUUACCAAGGCAACGAUGCAUAGCCGACCUGAGAGGGUGAUCGGCCACACUGGAACUGAGACACGGUCCAGACUCCUACGGGAGGCAGCAGUAGGGAAUCUUCCGCAAUGGGCGAAAGCCUGACGGAGCAACGCCGCGUGAGUGAUGAAGGUCUUCGGAUCGUAAAACUCUGUUAUUAGGGAAGAACAUAUGUGUAAGUAACUGUGCACAUCUUGACGGUACCUAAUCAGAAAGCCACGGCUAACUACGUG
rnacentral:rRNA from 1 species